AAUGUAGAGGGGCCAGCCCUUAACAAGUGCCUGGGGUGUUGUAGGCCGUCCAUGACUGUGGCUAUUGAUCCUAUUGCACAGGACUAAGGAGUUGUGGGUUCAUCUAAACUCAUUUGGCUGAUAGAAGAACAGUGGAGGUCCUGCACACAGCAAGCACCAGGCUCAGAGGCAAGGGGACUGCGGAGUUUUCAGGAACUAUGAAGAAGCUUUGGAGAGAAGAGAAAUGACAGGCCUCUUGGAACAUUACAUGUGAUUCAUGGAAUCCAUUACAUCACAGGUACAUGGCUCACACCUGAAUUCUAAAUGCCUUUGUCUGAAGUUGCGGGUGAGACAAAGAAAAAUAUUGUUGGAAAAUUUUAUUCUAAAAUUAAAGGAAUUUUGAAUAAUAAGGAGGAAUGUUUCAAGCUAGAAGAAGCUGCUACAUAACAGCAAAGACUCAGCAUGGGUGGAUGGACAAAGAAAAAACUGGUUCAUCUUGAGAGUUAGCACAUACUAUGGUUGGAGGUCCCCCCGCCCCACUUCACAUGUUAAGCAAUUGUUGCUAUGGCCACAUAUCGAGAAGGAAGAUGAAAAUCAGAAGACGGACAGUUUCAAUUGGGAUAAUGAUGAAGUUUCUUUUGCCUUAAUCCUUUUGAACAAUGAGACAACAACGAUGACGACGAUGACACCACCACCACCACCAACAACAACAACUCUAUGUGGGGCCAGAGAGCUAUGGGACUGAGAGGAGCAGCCGUGGAGCAAGAGUGGGGUGGAGGCAAUUCAAACCCCUGAAAUCUCAUCCUGAGAUCUGUAGAAGUAGGAAUACUGCCGCCUCUGCCCCAGGCCUGUAUGUACCUGUGCACGCAGUCCAGUGCCCCCCACCCUUACCUUACCAGAGGAGGUCAAGUAGCCAGUGGCCAAUUUAAACUUCCUUUCCCCUUAUAAGUCAUGUGCAGCAGCACCUGGAAUUCCUCCUUAUGCAAAUGAGGCAUCCCCAGCCAAUGAGGUACACUCACCCUGAUAGCCCGCCCCUCAAAGCUUUUUUCCUCCUUCCACAAUAAACUGAAUCAGUCUCUGAAGCUAAUCCUGGUGUGUGUGUGUGUGUGUGCAUGUGUGUGUUCUUUACCCACACACUCACCUCGGACCAAGGCCCUGCAUUGGACCCACCCACCCACGCCAAGCUUCCCUCCAUUCAGCCCAGC
rnacentral:lncRNA from 1 species